rnacentral:RNase_P_RNA from 1 species
CGCAGCGAGACAGACGAUCGUUCGUCGUUGUCCAUCCGGACGGCGGCGAGAGGAAAGUCCGAACUCCGCAGGGCAGUGCGCCGGAUAACGUCCGGUCGGGGCAACUCGAAGGAAAGUGGCACAGAAAACAUACCGCCGUUUGGCUCGUCAGAGUCGAGCGGUAAGGGUGAAAAGGUGCGGUAAGAGCGCACCGCGCCGGUGGUAACACGGGUGGCAGGCAAAACCCCGCACGGAGCAAGACCAAAUAAGGGGGCCCGCGGCGAACGCCGCAGCAGUCGGCCCGUCUGCAGAGUCUCCGGGUAGGUCGCUUGAUCUCGCCAGCAAUGGCGAGGCUAGAGGAAUGAUCGUUAGCCGGCGUUACCGCAUCAGUGGUGACGCCGGGACAGAAUUCGGCUUACGGAUCGCUGCGACAC